AAAGAAUCUCUGCUGUAAUUUACCUUUACUCUUUUUCUUCUCUUCUGUUCAUUCUACUAGAAUGCCUCAAACAUCUUUUCUUCUCACAGAAACAUACAAUAUAAUGGACCUAGAAGGAAAGCCCUACCUCCAGCUGUUUCUCUCAACCUUAUCACAGACGAACAACUAAAUUCAGGGAAAAAAGAGAAGCUGAAUUACAAUCUUACUGACUGGAACACAACUUCUCUCACCAACUCCACCUCUAGGUAUGACUGCUUCCUUUUAAACUGGUUAAGAAGGGCCCAUAGGCUCUGAGCUGGAGUAUCCCACCUGCUCAUCCAAUUCGGACCUGUGCUUUUUGGUUUGGAAGUUGGGUUUAAAAGACUAAUGGCCAUAUAAUAUCUGCAUUACAAAACACUGACACCUCAUAGGCAGGAUGGUUCUGUGGUUCAGUACGGCCACCAGAGAGUAGGCAAAUGGAUUCAAUCACAUAGGCCCCAUGAUUCAGGAAAUGCUUUCUCUUUAAUGCAUUGAUCUAAGGCCAUCACUAAAUGUGGCUUUCUCAAUGAAAUUUUAAAAGGACUGCUCUCUAACAAUAUACAACCCAUUUUGUUAGUCAGAUUCUAAAAUCUGCCACACCUCAUCUACUGAAAGGAUGUAGAAUAACAGGCCAUGCUGUGAUCUCACUGCACUUUGAUAAACCCUGCUAAUAGGCAGGCCUACCUUGUUUACCAGCUCAAUUGCGUAACAAUUAACAAUUUAAAUGUACUGCCUACACAGUAAAGAAUAACAUCCCCUAAUCCAAAAAGUGCUUAUUUUGUUUAGGACUAGAUUAAAUAACAGGAACUUGAAAGGUUCUUCGUUUGUAUUAAUUCCUCUAAUUAGGAAAGAGUAAUAGGAUACUAAAGUCACAUAAAACAAAGGAUAAUGAAAACAAAUGCAAAGAGUUCAAAGACAGCCAUCUAAUACAUGCCAUGUCAAAUAGUUUUUAAAAAAAGGCCACUAUAAAUUCACAGCUGUGAAUUCUAGUUUGAACAUUUUAAUCCACAGCUAACCAUGAAAUUGGGUCUUCAAUUUGAUGUUUUGUCUCAAUUAACAACUGGCAAAGAAGUUGGUAAUGUAUUUGAACUAAGACAUUAUUCUCUACCCUGGAAAUCUAUCAUGUUCAAGAUCUAAUUUCAAGAGGAACCACUUCAUAUGUGUUGGAUGAUGAGAAGCCCCCAGUUGGGAUGCAGCAAUUUUUUGGAUUUUCUGAGACAGGCUGUCACCCAGGCUGGAGUGCAGUGGCACAAUCUUGGCUCACUGCAACCUCCGCCUCCUGGGCUUGUAUAAUCCUCCCACCUCAGCCUCCUGAGUAGCUGGGACCACAGGUGCAUGCCACCAUGCCUGGCUAAUUUUUAAAUUUUUUGCAGAGACAAGGUUUCACUAUGUUGCCCAGGCUAGUCUUGAACUCCCGGGCUCAAGCAAUCCUCCCACCUCAGUCUCCUAAAGUGCUGGGAUUACAGGUGUGAGCCACUGUGCCCUGCCAGGGAUGGAGCAUCUUUGCAGUAUUUCAUUACUCUCAGCUCAUGGCAGAGUGUUCAAAAGGCAGGGGUAGGGUAAGGGCUGAAUUAUGGAGCAGCAGGUCCAGUAAGUAGAAAGGCCACUUCCCACUUAGCCUGAAUACAUUCUAUGAAGUGGAAGAGGAAAGACCUGAGGGAUGUCAUGGCAACCACUUAUGUUAGCAGGAGCAUGCCCAAAGCUCAGAGACCAGGAGUGCAGGAUAGGCCACUCAGGGACCAGGGGUGCAGGGCAGCAACUCAAAGCCCUAAGUGCCACCAGGUCAGGGCAGAGUAGGCUCUUGGCAAAUAACAGUAAAUAUCAGUUCCUAAUGUCAGUUAAUGACCCCUGACCUGGCAGAUUCCAUUUCAGCACCCUACCUUGUCCUCUGUGAAGGAGGCCACCCAAACUGUCUCACUGGUUCUAGGUACACAAAACCCAAAUCUGAGAAAUCCACUAGAUUGGCAGAAGCAAAGGGACUCAGUACCACAGGAAGUUCGCUUUUCUGUGUCACUAUAUCAAAAGCUACCACAAAUGCAGACAAUAACGGCUCUUUAAUAUUAAAGGGAAAAGCUAACCUGUCCAGCUACAGCAGCAAAGUAACCAUACAGCGGAUCCUGAGUUUGUCCGGGAAACGCAGGCCCUCCGGGAGCCCCUCCAUACUGUGAAACAGGAAACACAUACACGUCAUUCUGCCGAAUCAAGUUUUCUUCUUUCACCACUGAGGGCUUUUGUGCAAGGCCAGACAACUGCCCGCCUGCCCGCCCUUCACAAGGCUCACCUCCCCACCACCGGGCACACUCUGCCAACACUCCACCCCUCUCUUCCAUUCACACCCCGUAAUUUAAAAACUGGCGACUUAGACCAUAAAGAGUUGCUGUGAAAGUGAUGUCUACAUAUGUAAAGCAACUUUUAAAAUCCCUAUUAACCUGAAGGUUACUGAGGAGAAGAAUGUGUCUCUGGUAGCCAAUUGAUCCAAAAAGGAUCUGACAUUUUCAGAUGUGGAACCAAGGCCAGCCAAGCCCAGCCAAGCCCAGCAUAGAUCCGAUCCGCCAAAGCCCAACUGUCUUACAGAUGUAUAAACUGGAAUAAAUGUUGCUUUA
rnacentral:lncRNA from 1 species